CAUUUGCCAAGCGCGUCUUCAUUAAUCAAGAACGAAAGUCAGAGGUUCGAAGGCGAUCAGAUACCGCCCUAGUUCUGACCGUAAACGAUGCCAACUAGCGAUCCGCCGGUGGCUAUCUGGCCCUGGUGGGGAGCUUCCCGGAAACGAAAGUCUUCCGGUUCCGGGGGAAGUAUGGUUGCAAAGCUGAAACUUAAAGGAAUUGACGGAAGGGCACCACCAGGAGUGGAGCCUGCGGCUUAAUUUGACUCAACACGGGAAAACUCACCCGGCCCGGACACCGUGAGGAUUGACAGAUUGAUAGCUUUUUCAUGAUUCGGUGGUUGGUGGUGCAUGGCCGUUCUUAGUUCGUGGAUCGAUUUGUCUGGUUUAUUCCGAUAACGAGCGAGACUCCAGCCUACUAAAUAGUGCGGGCAUUGCUUCUGUGCCUCGCACUUCUUAGAGGGAUUGGCUGCGUCUAGCGGCACGAAACGGAGCAAUAACAGGUCUGUGAUGCCCUUAGAUGUCCGGGGCUGCACGCGCGCUACACUGGCAAAGGCAGCGUGCUUGUCCAUCUCCGAAAGGAGCUGGUAAACCCCUGAAAAUUUGCCGUGAUUGGGAUCGGAAAUUGCAAUUAUUUUCCGUGAACGAGGAAUUCCUAGUAAGUGCGAGUCAUCAGCUCGCGUUGAUUACGUCCCUGCCCUUUGUACACACCGCCCGUCGCUGCCUAGAACUGAGCCAUUUCGAGAAUAUUCGGGAUCGCUGGUUGCGCGCCUUUCGGGGCAUGCCUCCGGCCAGAGAACGAACGUAAUCGCAGUGGCUUGAACCGGGCAAAAGU
rnacentral:rRNA from 1 species